rnacentral:rRNA from 1 species
CCCCCCUAAAAGGGUUCCUACGGGGAGGCAGCAGUAGGGAAUCUUCCACAAUGGACGCAAGUCUGAUGGAGCAACGCCGCGUGAGUGAAGAAGGUCUUCGGAUCGUAAAGCUCUGUUGUUGGUGAAGAAGGAUAGAGGCAGUAACUGGUCUUUAUUUGACGGUAAUCAACCAGAAAGUCACGGCUAACUACGUGCCAGCAGCCGCGGUAAUACGUAGGUGGCAAGCGUUGUCCGGAUUUAUUGGGCGUAAAGCGAGCGCAGGCGGAAUGAUAAGUCUGAUGUGAAAGCCCACGGCUCAACCGUGGAACUGCAUCGGAAACUGUCAUUCUUGAGUGCAGAAGAGGAGAGUGGAACUCCAUGUGUAGCGGUGGAAUGCGUAGAUAUAUGGAAGAACACCAGUGGCGAAGGCGGCUCUUUGGUCUGCAACUGACGCUGAGGCUCGAAAGCAUGGGUAGCGAACAGGAUUAGAUACCCUGGUAGUCCAUGCCGUAAACGAUGAGCGCUAGGUGUUGGGGACUUUCCGGUCCUCAGUGCCGCAGCAAACGCAUUAAGCGCUCCCCCGGGGAGACAACCCCACG